rnacentral:misc_RNA from 1 species
ACAACCGGGGUACGCGUCCCGAUCUCUGGGUCGAGAUGUUCGCCUCCGGAGACCGUCAGUCGCUCCAGGCCACUGACAUGCUUCGCACGAACGAAUGGGUUCAUCUGGCCGUGGUCGUCGGGCCGGAUGAUCUGAAACUCCACUUCAACGGAGCCCUGCUGUCGGACCGUUUGGUGCCGGGACCGCGGAUACGUUUCGAUCCGCGGAGUUCACUCGAAGCAAUUUCCUGGGCCGGUCCAAUGCGAAGGUGAUCUUUGAACAGGACGGGAACUUUGAUGGGCGGAUCGAUGAAGUCCGGGUCUGGAAGGGAAAACGCACCGAGGCGCAAAUUCGGGGGACGAUGCUCGAGGCGCUCAGCGGGCGCGAGCCGGGGUUGCUGGCGCUGUGGAAUUUCGAGAGCGUCACCAACAAUGUGGUCAAGGACCCUGUCGCCCGGCGGGCACGGACGCCAGGCUGGCGGGGGGUGCCCGAGUUACCGAAGCUUCGCUUCCCGGCGCGGCGAGCCUGGCCCGGCUGGACACCGUGCUUCAACUUCCGGGCGCAAACAGCUACGUCGAACUGCCGCCCGAUAUCUUCAACGACCUGGAUCAUUCCACGUUCGAGGCGUGGGUGAAGUGGGAACAUCUGGGAGGACCGGGCUGGAAUCGGGCCUUUAAUUACGGCAGCGCCAGGCAGGAUGUGUCGAUUGGCACCCGGGGCGCAGACGGACUCUGGUUUGUUGUUUCAGAUGGCGAAGCACGGCAGUUGCACGAGAUCAUCGCUCCGGGAGUGCUGACGACCGGCGAGUGGGUUCAUGUUGCCGGAAUUUCCGGCAAAAACGGCAUGCGGCUCUACGUGUCCGGUCGCCUCGCCGGCACCAACGCUUACACGGGCAGCUUUUCCGCACUGAAGAGCGGCAAAUUCAACCGGCUGGGCAAGACCGUCACUCCGGAUGCUAACGAUCCGUCGUUUCAGGGGCAGAUCGACGAAGUGAGAGUCUGGCGGGGCGAACGGACGGAAUCGCAAAUCCGCGAGAACAUGUUCAAGCAGUUGUCGGGAUCGGAGCCGGGGUUGGCCGCUCUUUGGAACUUUGAUCAUGUCGAGGACCGUCUGGCACGGGACGCCGGUCCCGGCGGCCACCCACGGGCGAUUGGCGGGGUCCGCAUCGACGGGUGCGAGUCGGCUGCCCGGCGCAGCGGAGAUGCCUUCCAUUCUGGAAGGGACUGUUCUGAACGCGACCGGCGGCCAGGCCCCAUUUGCGAGGGUGAUCUUGAUCGUGAACGGCCAUAUCCACCGCCUGGCCAGCGCUGACCUCGAGGGAAAUUUCCAGUUCCGCCUGCGUGGGACCCUGGGGCCGCAAGUCUUCGCCUUGAAGAACAAGAGGAUCGCGAAACUGGCUGAGUGCCACGUGGAGCCGUUCGGCACGACGCGGGUUGACAUGAAGCUGGGUGGCAGCGAACCAGACCCCGCACUCGUGUCCGAACUCAAGGCGGUCCUCGUCGAGGGACCUCUCGACAAAACGCGUCCCGAUCAUGAGCUUGCCGCCGCCGCCCUGACGGAGCUUCAAGUCCCGGAUCCGAGUGUGGUGGCCGCGCUGGUCAGCGUUCUCGACAGCCCGCGUGCCUCCGCCCGGGACGCCGCGCUCAGCGCUCUCGCGGAGCUGCCGAUCCCCGCCUCCUUGCAGCCGGUCUAUGAAAAGCGGAGCCGGGCGAUGGCCUACCUCUUCGGCGGACUGCUGAUUCCGUUCGCCGCGUUUCAUCUCCUCCUGUUCGCUUUUUUUCCAAAGGUGCGAAGCAACCUCUACUUCGCCGCCUAUGCCGCCACGGCUGCCUGGGGCAUCAUCCAGGAAGUGGGGAUGGACGCCGCUUCUCUGAGCGGGGCCGAUCUCACCCCCGUCCUGGUCCUCGGCAUCGCCAACUCCCUGUUCGGGCUCCGCCUGCUCUAUUCGUUUUUUUACAAUCGGUUGCCGCGGUUGUUUUGGGUCUUCCUCAUAGCCGGCGCGCUGGGCGCAUUGCCUGCGAUUCUGACGCAAUCGAGCGUGCCCUUGAUGGAAGUUUUCCGCCGUCCCGGCUCGCUGGAUGCAAGGGGGCUGACGUUCCUGCUCUCGGUGGCGAUCGUUGGGCUGGCAUCACUCGCCACCGGAGUCGAGAUGUUCCGGGUGGUGGUGCUGGCAGUCAUCCGCAGGAAGCGGGGAGCCCGGAUCAUCGGCGCGGGAUGAUGGCUAAUUUCCUCUUCCCGGUCGCGGCCGCCCUUGGCAACGCGUUUUUCGAGGACUUUUUGCGGGACCUUCUCGGGUACCCGGUCUGGGAGUACCUCUCGAACAUGGGCGCCGUCGUGUUCGCCGGGUGCGCGUCCCUUUACCUCGCGGGCGACUUCGCCCGGACCUAUCGCAAUCUCGCCAGCGCAAAGGAGGAGAUCGAACGAAAAAACCGCGAUCUGGCCGCUGCCAGCCGCGAUGCCGAGGAAGCGCGGGCGGUUGCCGACGAGGCGAACAAAGCCAAAAGCGCUUUUCUGGCCAACAUGUCGCACGAGUUGCGCACGCCGCUCAACGCCAUCAUUGGAUACAGCGAGAUGCUCGAGGAAACAGCGGAAGACUUGAACCAGCCGGAGUUCAUCCCUGACCUCGGGAAGAUUCACGGCGCGGGCAAGCACCUCCUCGGCCUGAUCAACGACAUCCUCGACCUCUCGAAGGUCGAAGCCGGCAAGAUGACGCUGUAUCUCGAGGAGUUCGACGUGGCCGGACUCCUGCAGGAGGUCGCCGCGACGGUGCAACCGCUGAUCACGAGGAACGGCAACGCGUUGGUAGUCGAGUGCCCCGCGCAAAUCGGCACGAUGCGGGCCGACAUCACCAAGCUCCGCCAGACGCUUUUCAAUUUGCUGAGCAACGCGAGCAAGUUCACCGAGAAGGGAACGAUCCGACU